GAUGAAACAGAUCCAUAUCGAAUAACUAAUUAAAAAUUCUUCUACUUUUCUUUAUAAAUUGUAUUAUAUUUCAACACAUUCAUGCAGUACACUUCACAUCAUUCACUCACUUAAUCAAUUAAACAAGGAAUUUAUUAAUAAAUCAAUCAAUAACUAAUUAUUCAAUAUAAAAUCACUAAUAAUUGUUCACUGUGCAAAAGUUAUUUGAAGUGACUACUGUUUCUUAAUGAUUUUGACUCAUGAAUCAAUGCAGAUCACGAAUAAUUAACAAAAAUAAUGUGUUAAGCAAACUCAGCAAAUGAUGUAACAAAGUUCGAAAUGAUAGGAAAACAAAACGCGAAGCGUCACAGCCGUUUCAAAAAAUUUACACAAAAACAGAACACAUCAACUUAUCUCAGAGAUCUCAACAAGACUAUUCGAAAGAAACACGUGUUUACUCGACAAUGGCUGUGUUCAGCCACAAUAUAUACACGCAACUCUCGCGAUUUCAACUUGGAAAAAUGAACUGCAUGCACGAGAUAAGUAGAAAAGGACGGAAUUUUAAGGAAGAUCAAAAUAAAAUGUCGGCUCAAAGAAGAAGCAAUGAUAUGUUGUUAAAGAAUAUAAUAAAAAUGUAUAAGAACCAUACUUGUUUCCAAAGGACAUAAUAGUCACAGUAGUCACAGUAGUCACAGUGGGAAAUGACAACAAAAUCUAUGACAUCAUUACUCUAUUGCAGUGCUAUCGUAACGCACUAGGAUACAUUUUGGAACGGCUUUACCGCACUGUCAGUGAAUUUUGGAACACAGCUAUAGUCUAUAAUAUUCAAAUAUAAAAAUCUGAACUCAAUUCUGUCAAUA